UGUUAGCAAUAUAGAGCAGUAUUGGAAAACACUUUAAAAUGACUGUAUCCAAGAACUGGAGUGAGUUGCCUUACAGUAGGUUGUCAUGCUGUUUCUUUUUCUUCUUCUUUUUUUUUUUUUUUUUCAACCGCCAUCUGUGCUCCAGCAUUUAGGCUUUUAUUAAAGCAAAAAUCAGCUGUAAGGUUUUGGUCUCUUUCACAUUAAAUUCAGAGUUUAAUAUUCAAAAUUGUUCCCUCAGAACAACUGAGAACUUGAUCAUAUUGUUUCAAAGAAAAACUUAAAUUCCAUCCUCUUCUUUUCCAGAUUGCACGUGAUCCUCAUCAGUUUAAAAUGUAAGCAGUUCUAGAACUACAUGGAGUCAUCUGGAGGCAAAACCAGAAACCAAAUACAAAAUGUUGUAAUGAAGCUUAUUUGCUCUUCUGCAAGCUUACAAAUGCAUGCCUGAGAGGUCAGGAUUGCUCCAUUAAUCUUAACAGUACCAACUUAAACAACUAAUGACAGUAACUGAACUGUAAAUAUUAUUAACCAUUUCAUCUUUGAUCAAAUCAUAUGACGUUAGAUGUACAGAGAUUGACAUGAGUUUCCCAGUGCAGUAAAUAAUGAGGCAGUGCUGAUAAGAAGAAAAGGAGAACUUUGGGAACCGAGAAGCCAGUGACUUGACCUGGUGGUGGUGUAUUUCAUGCUUUUUCCAGGUAGAUUCCUUAGAAAUCUGUGUACCUGCUUUAUGGCCAGCCAAGGAUCACCGUCAGUAAGAAGACUAUCCCUAUUUAGAUCAACUGGCAAACAUAAAACCCAUCUGUGUGUUGCUUAACAGGUGCCAUU
rnacentral:lncRNA from 1 species